rnacentral:rRNA from 1 species
UGCGCAGGCGGGCUUGUAAGUCAGUGGUGAAAUACUGCCGCUUAACGGUAGAACUGCCAUUGAUACUGCGAGUCUUGAAUAUGGUUGAGGUAGGCGGAAUGUGUUGUGUAGCGGUGAAAUGCAUAGAUAUGACACAGAACGCCGAUUGCGAAGGCAGCUUACUAAGCCAUGAUUGACGCUGAGGCACGAAAGCGUGGGGAGCGAACAGGAUUAGAUACCCUGGUAGUCC